AGAGUUUGAUCCUGGCUCAGGAUGAACGCUGACAGAAUGCUUAACACAUGCAAGUCGAUUCGAAGUUUCUUUCGGGAAAUGGAGGAUGGCGGACGGGUGAGUAACGCGUAAGGAACUUGCCUUUUGGACUGGGACAACUGUUGGAAACGACAGCUAAUACCGGAUAUUAUAAGAUCUUCGCAUGGAGAACUUAUGAAAGCUAUAUGCGCCAAAAGAGAGCCUUGCGUUCCAUUAGCUAGUUGGUGGGGGUAAUGGCCCACCAAGGCGACGAUGGAUAGCCGGCCUGAGAGGGUGAACGGCCACAAGGGGACUGAGACACGGCCCUUACUCCUACGGGAGGCAGCAGUGGGGAAUAUUGGACAAUGGGCCACAAGCCUGAUCCAGCAAUUCUGUGUGCACGAUGACGGUCUUCGGAUUGUAAAGUGCUUUCAGUUGGGAAGAAGAAAGUGACGGUACCAACAGAAGAAGCGACGGCUAAAUACGUG
rnacentral:rRNA from 1 species